rnacentral:misc_RNA from 1 species
UCCCAGUUAACCUGGGCAGUCUCACUAGAGUCCCCACCUUUACGUGCUGGUAACUAAUGACAAGGGUUGCGCUCGUUGCGGGACUUAACCCAACACCUCACGGCACGAGCUGACGACAGCCAUGCAGCACCUGUGAUUUUGUCCUUGCGGAAAAUCUAAUUUCUUAGACGAUCAAAAACAUGUCAAGUCUGGGUAAGGUUCUUCGCGUUGCAUCGAAUUAAACCACAUGCUCCACUGCUUGUGCGGGCCCCCGUCAAUUCUUUUAAGUUUCACUCUUGCGAGCGUACUCCUCAGGCGGUGUACUUAACGCGUUAGCUUCGACACAGACAGGGUUGAGCCCAUCUACAUCAAGUACACAUCGUUUACGGCAAGGACUAC